ensembl:ncRNA B0524.7 ncRNA
AUUUUCCGGGUUACGGUAGCCCCAGAAGUACGCAAACACCGCGGAUCUCACGACA